ensembl:lncRNA
CACGAACUUAACCACUUGACCACCGGGCUGGCCCGCUUAUAUAGUUCUUAGUUAAAGCAUUGGGGGAAACUGUUGAUAUACAUAUUGUGAAGAAAAACAUUUGUACUCUCACCCUGCUGAUAUGAAUAGAAAAUGAGAGCUGAAUAAGAACUUGGUGAUCAACUAGUCCAACACCACCAUGAAUGAGAGAGCUCUGAGUGCAGAGAGGUUAAUCAAGGUCAUACAGUUGUCCAGGUCUCGAGUACCCUGUCCAUUAUCCUGUUUUCUUUGUUUGAAAGCCUGAAACCAAUUAAAAAGCAAUAAAGCAAGUGCUCCAGUGCUUGUUUGAAUCAAUAUAUCUCAGGAAAUGCACUUCCAAUUGGCCAGACUCUCCAUCAUGCACUUUGCUUUUCUGCUCUUUUAUUCAGUGUAAAAUUCUCCUUAAGGAAGCCCUGGGUCUCAGUCCUAAACUCCCAGCUAGAGACAUCGCCAAUGAAGGGAAGCAACCUAAUCUGAAUUUCAGCUCAGCUAGGAAGAGAGAAAAAGAACCUUCGCAGGUUUGAGUCAGAAGAAGGAAGGAUGUGAGAGAAUAGGAGAUCCUUAAAAGCAUUCUUUCUGUUUCCUCAUUCUGACGCAGAAAUCUAAACUGGAAAACUUUAGAAGAAACACCUGGAAAAGCAGUGUAUCAACAUUCAAAAUGCAGAAACACAGGCAUAAUGAGAUGAUGAAAUUCAUUCAUGGCCAUUUUCGUCUAAAUCAAUGAUUUCUCAACCAGGUGUGAUUUUUUUCCCCCAGGGGACAUUUUGGCAAUGUCUGGAGACAUUUCUGGUUGUCAUGACUCACGAAGCAGGUGGAGUGAUACUGGCACCUAGUGUACGGAGGUCAGGGAGCUGCUAUAAACAUCCUAUCAGGCACAAGACCACUCAUCACAAAGAAUGAUCCAGCCCCAGACAUCAGUAGUGCCGUGGUGGAGGACCCCUGCUCUACAGCAUUACCUUGUUGGAGUGGUAUCUCCAAAUCUCCAGAUCCAGAUGGAGUUAGUGAUAUUGCCAUGGUUGACCUCAACUCCCAGCAGGUUCAACAUGGUGAUCUUUCCCACUGCUCACCCUAGGAUACCUCCAUUAGGUCUGGGAACUCAAUCUGUGCAGAGUCUAAACUCUAACAUGUUCCUUGCUGCUACACUGUUGAUUUUCUCAGAAGGUAAUGGCCGUGCUUUUAUUUUGAAGUGGUUCAGGCUCCUUUUAAUUAGGAAGACAUAGGUGCAUUUCUACUCAGAUAUAUGGGCCAGUUCAUUUCAUUUGAGUAGAAACAAAGUCAAAUGCUAGAUCAAGGAAAGAGCCCUCUGAUGAAGCCUCUACAGCACAUUGUGUUAACUUUUCCAUGCUAACUAAUGUUGAGAAAGGGGAAGCUUUGUAUUCUUUUUUUGCACCUUUGUCACAGAAUCACCUGUUGACCUACUUCUGGCAUUCUGCUUAAACCAUCGUGUGCUGGAGUCUAUAGAAAAUGCAGUCGAGGAGAGAGAGGACACGGGGGAAAGAGAAAAGAGAUAUUUUAUAACUUAAAGUGCAUGAGCAUAGACCCUCCCCUUUGUUAUUUACAAAUUAUACUAUGAAGCAAAAAUAUUGAGUGACGGUAACUUCAACCAAAAUUACAUUCAAGUUAAAAAAGACUUGGGAACCAUCCCUGAUUAUUUUCUCAUCCCAUUACAGUCAAGAUUUAGUAGACUACCUAAAAUACAAAGACAACCAGGACAAAAUUCUUCUCUUUGAGUUAAGGUCAGCAGAGAGAUAGGUCAUGAAACAGCUUUCUGAGACAGAAAGAAGAGAGGUGGUCAGGGACUGGGGGAGGGGGAAAUGGGGAGACAGUGCUUCAUGGGUACGGAGUCUGGGGUAAUGAAAAUGUUUCGGAAACAGAUAAUGGUGAUGGCUGCACAGCUUUGUGAAUGUGGUUAAUGCCUCUGAAUUUUACACUUAAACAUGGUUAAAAUUGCAAAUUUUAUGUUAUACAUACUUUGCUACAAUAAAAACAAUUAUCUGUGAAGUGCAGCAAUGGCUAUAGGUGAGAUAUAUGGAAAAGAUCUUGUGGGUAAACAGAAGAAAUAAUCAUUUAAAAACAAAAUUUAUUGAAUUCAUACUUUUUCUUAGACACUUUUCUAGGCAUUUGAUAAUCAGUGUCUCAGUCUGCGUCCUCCAAGAAGCAGAUGCCAAGAUGAAAUGAGGAAUUAAAUAUACUAGAUGUAUUGGGGAAACACCUCUGCAGGAUAAAGGGGAGGAAGCAGGAGCAGGCAGGAAGAGUCUCCAGCUGCAGUGCAAGUCUGACACCA